rnacentral:rRNA from 1 species
CCUACGGGUGGCAGCAGUGAGGAAUAUUGGUCAAUGGGCUUACGCCUGAACCAGCCAAGUCGCGUGAGGGAAGACUGCCCUAUGGGUUGUAAACCUCUUUUGUCAGGGAGCAACGCCGGCUACGUGUAGCCGGACUGAGAGUACCUGAAGAAAAAGCAUCGGCUAAUACCGUGCCAGCAGCCGCGGUAAUACGGGGGAUGCGAGCGUUAUCCGGGUUUAUUGGGUUAAAAGGUUCCGUAGGCGGAAUGCAAAGGCAUCGGUAAAAUCGCGGGGCUCAACCUCGCUCCGCCGUUGAAACUUGCGUUAUUGAGUGGGCGAGAAGUAUGCGGAAUGCGUGGUGUAGCGGUGAAAUGCAUAGAUAUCACGCAGAACUCCGAUUGCGAAGGCAGCAUACCGGCGCCCAACUGACGCUGAAGCACGAAAGCGUGGGUAUCGAACAGGAUUAGAUACCCGGGUAGUC